rnacentral:rRNA from 1 species
UUAGCGAUAGCUGGUUUCUCAAAAAAAGAAUCUUAGUCCAACCUAAAGUUAUACAAAUUUACAUAAAUUUUCCCACUCACUUUAGAGCAAUUCAAAUGAGGUACAGCCCAUUUGAUACAGGAUCCAACCUUUACUAACGGGUAAUAUCUGACUCCACCCCCAAGUAGGCUUAAGAGCAGCCACCUUUUAAAAAGCGUCAAACCUUAACGUAUUAACACCAAUUCACAACCCCCCAUCAACCCCUUUCACCCUACUGAGAACUUCUAUAAUAUUAUAGAACCUUUAAUGUUAAAACUAGUAACAAGAGAUACACCCUCUCUAUAAUGCAAACUCAAACCAGCAAGAACCUAUCACUGGUGAUUAACAGAAACAAAGUAGUAACUUUCUCAAGAAAACUCUACUCCCUCAACUGUUAACCUAACACAAGAGCAUCCCAAGAAAGAUUUAAAGAAAAAGAAGGAACUCGGCAAAUAUAAAUCUCGCCUGUUUACCAAAAACAUCGCCUCUUGUCACCUAUAAGAGGUCCAGCCUGCCCAGUGACUCUUGUUCAACGGCCGCGGUAUCCUAACCGUGCGAAGGUAGCGUAAUCACUUGUCUUUUAAAUAAAGACUAGUAUGAAAGGCACCACGAAGAUUAAACUGUCUCCUCUCUCCAAUCAGUGAACCUAAUCUCCCCGUGAAAAAGCGGGAAUUUUUAUAUAAGACGAGAAGACCCUAUGGAGCUUAAAACAUCAUAACACUGCACCUCCACAUUAAUAACCCAAAUAUUUACCCCACAGCACACUGAUUAUAUGUUUUCGGUUGGGGUGACCGCGGAGAAAAACCCAUCCCCCGCGAUGAUGGGGGACCCCCCCCCACAAUAAGUCACAACUUUACGUAUCAACAAAUUGACAUUAUUGACCCAAUAUAUUGAUUAACGAACCAAGUUACCCUAGGGAUAACAGCGCAAUCCACUUUGAGAGCCCCUAUCGACAAGUGGGCUUACGACCUCGAUGUUGGAUCGGGAUACCCAAGUGGUGCAGCCGCUACUAAAGGUUCGUUUGUUCAACGAUUAAAACCCCACGUGAUCUGAGUUCAGACCGGAGUAAUCCAGGUCAGUUUCUAUCUAUAAUAGUGCUAUUUUUAGUACGAAAGGACCAAAAUAGCUCGGCCAAUACCUCUGGCAAGCCGUUAUUAAUUAAUUUAGACUUCCACUCAAAAACUAUUAACCU